AGAUGGCGACCGGCCGCACGGGUAAACAACGUAUACCCAACCCGCCGAUAACUCGGGGAUAGUCCUUCGAAAGAAAGAUUAAUACCCGAUGGUAUAAUCAGACCGCAUGGUUUGAUUAUUAAAGAAUUUCGGUUAUCGAUGGGGAUGCGUUCCAUUAGGCAGUUGGUGAGGUAACGGCUCACCAAACCUUCGAUGGAUAGGGGUUCUGAGAGGAAGGUCCCCCACAUUGGAACUGAGACACGGUCCAA
rnacentral:rRNA from 1 species